CGGGAUAGCUCAGUUGGUAGAGCAGAGGACUGAAAAUCCUCGUGU
rnacentral:tRNA from 2 species